rnacentral:rRNA from 2 species
UGAGUGAAGAAGGCUUUCGGGUCGUAAAACUCUGUUGUUGGGGAAGAAUGGUCGGCAGAGUAACUGUUGUCGGCGUGACGGUAUCCAACCAGAAAGCCACGGCUAACUACGUGCCAGCAGCCGCGGUAACACGUAGGUGGCAAGCGUUAUCCGGAUUUAUUGGGCGUAAAGCGAGCGCAGGCGGUUUUUUAAGUCUGAUGUGAAAGCCCUCGGCUUAACCGAGGAAGUGCAUCGGAAACUGGGAAACUUGAGUGCAGAAGAGGACAGUGGAACUCCAUGUGUAGCGGUGAAAUGCGUAGAUAUAUGGAAGAACACCAGUGGCGAAGGCGGCUGUCUGGUCUGUAACUGACGCUGAGGCUCGAAAGCAUGGGUAGCGAACAGGAUUAGAUACCCUGGUAGUCCAUGCCGUAAACGAUGAAUGCUAGGUGUUGGAGGGUUACCGCCCUUCAGUGCCGCAGCUAACGCAUUAAGCAUUCCGCCUGGGGAGUACAACCGCAAGGUUGAAACUCAAAGGAAUUGACGGGGGCCCGCACAAGCGGUGGAGCAUGUGGUUUAAUUCGAAGCAACGCGAAGAACCUUACCAGGUCUUGACAUCU